rnacentral:rRNA from 1 species
GACGAACGCUGGCGGCGUGCUUAACACAUGCAAGUCGAACGAAGUGGCGAACGGGUGAGUAACGCGUAAUCAACCUGCCCUUCAGAGGGGGACAACAGUUGGAAACGACUGCUAAUACCGCAUACUGAAGGAGGGGAUUGCGUCUGAUUAGCUGGUUGGAGGGGUAACGGCCCACCAAGGCGAUGAUCAGUAGCCGGUCUGAGAGGAUGAACGGCCACAUUGGGACUGAGACACGGCCCAGACUCCUACGGGAGGGAGCAGUAGGGAAUCUUCGGCAAUGGGGGGAACCCUGACCAAGCAACGCCGCGUGAGUGAAGAAGGUUUUCGGGUUGUAAAGCUCUGUUAAUCGGGACGCGGUACCGGAAUAGAAAGCCACGGCUAACUACGUGCCAGCCGCCGCGGUAAUUC